CUAACAAGGAUUCCCCUAGUAGCGGCGAGCGAAGCGGGAAGAGCUCAAAUUUAUAAUCUGGCACCUUCGGUGUCCGAGUUGUAAUCUCUAGAAAUGUUUUCCGCGUUGGACCGCACACAAGUCUGUUGGAAUACAGCGGCAUAGUGGUGAGACCCCCGUAUAUGGUGCGGACGCCCAGCGCUUUGUGAUACAUUUUCGAAGAGUCGAGUUGUUUGGGAAUGCAGCUCAAAUUGGGUGGUAAAUUCCAUCUAAAGCUAAAUAUUGGCGAGAGACCGAUAGCGAACAAGUACCGUGAGGGAAAGAUGAAAAGCACUUUGGAAAGAGAGUUAACAGUACGUGAAAUUGUUGGAAGGGAAACGCUUGAAGUCAGACUUGCUUGCCGAGCAAUCGGUUUGCAGGCCAGCAUCAGUUUUCCGGGAUGGAUAAUGGUAGAGAGAAGGUAGCAGUUUCGGCUGUGUUAUAGCUCUCUGCUGGAUACAUCUUGGGGGACUGAGGAACGCAGUGUGCCUUUGGCGGGGGUUUCGACCUCUUCACACUUAGGAUGCUGGUGGAAUGGCUUUAAACGACCCGUCUGA
rnacentral:rRNA from 1 species